CCCUUAGAUGUCCGGGGCUGCACGCGCGCUACACUGAAGGAAUCAGCGUGCUAAAACCAUUGUCGAAAGGCAUUGGUAAACCCAUUAAAAUCCUACGUGAUUGGGAUCGGGAAUUGCAAUUAUUUCCCUUGAACGAGGAAUUCCCAGUAAGUGUGGGUCAUAAGCUCGCGUUGAUUACGUCCCUGCCCUUUGUACACACCGCCCGUCGCUGCCCGGGACUGAGCCGUUUCGAGAAAAGCGGGGACUGCUGCUGUCGGGGCUUUCGGGCCUUGGCUUCGGUGGAAACCGCUUUAAUCGCAGUGGCUUGAACUGGGCAAAANUCGUAACA
rnacentral:rRNA from 1 species